UUUAAUGAAAUGUUUUUUGAUUAAAUUUUAUUUGUAAUUCAAUUGUGAAGUUUAAAUGUAUUGGCGGUGUUUAAAAAGUUCUGAGAAUCUUGCUUAUUUAAUAUGAUAUUACACAAUUUAUUCUUUCCUUAAUUAUUUAUUUGGUUUAUGUAUUGCUGUUUAAUUUGUUAUUUAAUAUAAAUAAUACAAAUAAGUUUAAUAAGAUUUAUUAAGUAAUUCAAGUCAAGAUGUAGUUUUUUUAAGGAAUAAGUGAGUUGCUUUUUUUUAGAAAAUUAGAAUUUUUUUAUGUUUAGGUUGAAAUUAAAAUAUAAGGAUAGGAUUAGGAAGUAAAAUUAAAAUUAGUAUGUUUUUUUGAUAUAUUUUAUAAACGUGU
rnacentral:rRNA from 1 species